UCAUCAAUAAUAAUUGUACAUCAGAACAUGAUGAAUGGAGACUCAUGAGAUAUGAUUAAUAUCUCCAUCUUGUAGGGAACAGCAACACCCUACAAAACCCAUUCUGAC